CAGAUGGGCCAAUCCCAAAUCUGGGGCCUCUGGAUGAGGAAAAGAAGGCCAUGACCAGGAAGUCAUGGUUACUCCACAUUCAUGGCUUUCUUCACAUUUCUUGAACUGCCAACAGAGUUUUGAACAGGCUCCUCUCAAAGUUGCAAAACUGCUUUAAGGCACCUGCCAAAGAGAAAGCCAGAAGCCACAGAAGUACCCCCUUCUCAAAGCCAGUCCCUGGGAUGCUGCCUCAAAAAUGCCUUCUUCAGUGGGAACAGAAUUCUUUGUGGUGUCUGCACACUAGAUUCCUCCUGCUGCCUCCUUCCCUUGCUCGUAUUUUGACAUCGGGUCCUGAGCAUCCAGCCUUCUCUUCCCGCGCCCCCCCAUCAUUCAGUGCCAGCUCUUUGCCAGAGCUGAUGAGUUAGAUGUGAGCCUCUGGUUCUGGCCCGAAGGUCCUGGGGGCUGGUGUGCCACACUGGCAUAAUGCUGAAGUGACAGCAGUGACCCCAACGCCCAGACUGCCCUGGAAAUAGGAGGGGGGCAGGGGAAAGGUCAGGAGUGUGGGUUUGCUCUCUGCCGUUCCUGCAGGAUGGAAAGCCCUACACAAGCCAAAGACGGAGACUGGAGGGGACAGCUGCAAGUGGAGACAGUGGCCUCAUGCUCACUUGGGAUUCCUGUCCUGGCAGCAGAACUGUGUGCUCUGUGAGCCACCCACCAACACAUGGCAAUUAGGGAAGAAAUAUGUCAUUUCAUACCCUCACAGUGUGUCUGGUUCAGUGGCCAAACAACAGGGAGAAAUUCUUAAUCCCUCUCCUUUGUCCCUCACAUCCCAUCCAUGGCCAAUGGUGUCAACUCAACCUCCAAGACAGAUUUAGAAUUAUCCUCUUAUCUCCAUCUCUCAGCCCAGCCCCAGCCCCAGCCCCAUCCCCACCCCACCCACUGCUCCUCAGACUCUUACUUUCCCUCAUUCUCACCCUAAUCCAUCCCUCACACAGCAGCCAGAGUCAGAGAUAUGACACAUAAAGCCUAUCAUACCCACCCCCGGCCUAAAAUCCUGUAGUGGAUUGACCAGUUGCCCCAAAACUCACAUCGACCUGGGAUCUCACAAUGUGACCUUACUUGGAAAUAGAUUCUUUGCAUGGGUGAUUAAGAUGAGGUCCUGCUGGAGGAAGGUGGGCCUUAGACCCAAUGACUGGUGUCCUCAGAAGAAGAGGAGAGGACACAGAGAGGAAGGCCACGUGAAGACAGGCAGAUUGGAGUGAUGCAUACAAGCCGAGGAAUGCCAAGGUUUCUUCCCUAGAGCCAUCGAAGGGAGCAUGGCCCUGCCAACACCCAGAGUUCAGAUCGUACCCUCCAGAACUGUGAGAGAAUAAAUGUGAGUGGUUUUAAGCCGCUCAGUUGGUGGUACUUUGUUAUUGCAGCCCCAGGGGACUGAUACAAACCCUUAAUAAAUGGCAUUCAAAAUUGUA